UGAGGAAAAUUGGUCAAUGGGCGAGAGCCUGAACCAGCAACGCCGCGUGAAGGAUGAAGGCCUUCGGGUCGUAAACUUCUUUUGAGGGAGAAGAGAAAGGACGGUAUCCCUCGAAUAAGCCACGGCUAACUACGUGCCAGCAGCCGCGGUAAUAA
rnacentral:rRNA from 1 species